CUAAUACAUGCAAGUCGAGCGCGGGAAGCCGGACAGAUCCCUUCGGGGUGACGACCGGUGGAACGAGCGGCGGAUGGGUGAGUAACACGUGGGCAACCUGCCUGUAAGCCUGGGAUAACUCGCGGAAACGCGAGCUAAUACCGGAUGCGCCUUUUGUUCGCAUGAACGAAAGGUAAAAGGCGGCUUUUGCUGUCACUUACAGAUGGGCCCGCGGCGCAUUAGCUAGUUGGUGAGGUAACGGCUCACCAAAGCGACGAUGCGUAGCCGACCUGAGAGGGUGAUCGGCCACACUGGGACUGAGACACGGCCCAGACUCCUACGGGAGGCAGCAGUAGGGAAUCUUCCGCAAUGGACGAAAGUCUGACGGAGCGACGCCGCGUGAGUGAUGAAGGUCUUCGGAUCGUAAAACUCUGUUGUUAGGGAAGGACAAGUACCGUUCGAAUAGGCCGGUACCUUGACGGUACCUAACCAGAAAGCCCCGGCUAACUACGUGCCAGCAGCCGCGGUAAUACGUAGGGGGCAAGCGUUGUCCGGAAUUAUUGGGCGUAAAGGGCGCGCAGGCGGUCUUCUAAGUCUGAUGUGAAAGCCCACGGCUUAACCGUGGAAGGUCAUUGGAAACUGGGGGACUUGAGUGCAGAAGAGGAGAGUGGAAUUCCAUGUGUAGCGGUGAAAUGCGUAGAGAUAUGGAGGAACACCAGUGGCGAAGGCGA
rnacentral:rRNA from 1 species